GCCCUUAGAGUUUGAUCCUGGCUCAGGAUGAACGCUAGCUACAGGCUUAACACAUGCAAGUCGAGGGGCAGCAUGGUCUUAGCUUGCUAAGGCCGAUGGCGACCGGCGCACGGGUGAGUAACACGUAUCCAACCUGCCGUCUACUCUUGGACAGCCUUCUGAAAGGAAGAUUAAUACAAGAUGGCAUCAUGAGUCCGCAUGUUCACAUGAUUAAAGGUAUUCCGGUAGACGAUGGGGAUGCGUUCCAUUAGAUAGUAGGCGGGGUAACGGCCCACCUAGUCUUCGAUGGAUAGGGGUUCUGAGAGGAAGGUCCCCCACAUUGGAACUGAGACACGGUCCAAACUCCUACGGGAGGCAGCAGUGAGGAAUAUUGGUCAAUGGGCGAGAGCCUGAACCAGCCAAGUAGCGUGAAGGAUGACUGCCCUAUGGGUUGUAAACUUCUUUUAUAAAGGAAUAAAGUCGGGUAUGGAUACCCGUUUGCAUGUACUUUAUGAAUAAGGAUCGGCUAACUCCGUGCCAGCAGCCGCGGUAAUACGGAGGAUCCGAGCGUUAUCCGGAUUUAUUGGGUUUAAAGGGAGCGUAGAUGGAUGUUUAAGUCAGUUGUGAAAGUUUGCGGCUCAACCGUAAAAUUGCAGUUGAUACUGGAUAUCUUGAGUGCAGUUGAGGCAGGCGGAAUUCGUGGUGUAGCGGUGAAAUGCUUAGAUAUCACGAAGAACUCCGAUUGCGAAGGCAGCCUGCUAAGCUGCAACUGACAUUGAGGCUCGAAAGUGUGGGUAUCAAACAGGAUUAGAUACCCUGGUAGUCCACACGGUAAACGAUGAAUACUCGCUGUUUGCGAUAUACUGCAAGCGGCCAAGCGAAAGCGUUAAGUAUCCACCUGGA
rnacentral:rRNA from 1 species